GCUCCCAUCGUCUAGCGGUUCAGGACGCUGCCCUCUCACGGCGGUAACAGGGGUUCGAAUCCCCUUGGGAGUACCA
rnacentral:tRNA from 1 species